UUUCCGUAGGUGAACCUGCGGAAGGGUCAUUAAUGAGUUGUCAUGGGGUUCGAUGCUGGCAGCCAAUUUUUGGAUGCAUGUGCUUGCCCUAACAAUCAUCUUCCAAACACCUGUGCACAUUUUUGAGGGAGUCUUGAGUUGGUUGCCGCUCUUGGGUGAUUUUCUCACAUUCCCUUAAAUCAUUAUACGCUAUUAACAAUGUUGAACGUGCUCUGUGCCGCAAGGCUAUUAAUAUAAUACAACUUUUAACAACGGAUCUCUUGGCUCUU
rnacentral:misc_RNA from 1 species